rnacentral:rRNA from 1 species
CGCCCGGGGGCGCGCCCCGGGCGGGGCGGGGGCACGGGGGGAACGCGAAGAACCUUACCUGGCCUUGACAUCCAGAGAACUUAGCAGAGAUGGUUUGGUGCCUUCGGGAACUGUGAGACAGGUGCUGCAUGGCUGUCGUCAGCUCGUGUUGUGAAAUGUUGGGUUAAGUCCCGCAACGAGCGCAACCCUUAUCCUUUGUUGCCAGCGAUUCGGUCGGGAACUCAAAGGAGACUGCCGGUGAUAAACCGGAGGAAGGUGGGGAUGACGUCAAGUCAUCAUGGCCCUUACGGCCAGGGCUACACACGUGCUACAAUGGCGCAUACAAAGAGAAGCGACCUCGCGAGAGCAAGCGGACCUCAUAAAGUGCGUCGUAGUCCGGAUUGGAGUCUGCAACUCGACUCCAUGAAGUCGGAAUCGCUAGUAAUCGUAGAUCAGAAUGCUACGGUGAAUACGUUCCCGGGUCU